AGUGAACGCUGGCGGUAGGCCUAACACAUGCAAGUCGAACGGCAGCACAGUAAGAGCUUGCUCUUACGGGUGGCGAGUGGCGGACGGGUGAGGAAUACAUCGGCAUCUACUUUUUCGUGGGGGAUAACGGAGGGAAACUGACGCUAAUACCGCAUACUACCUACGGGUGAAAGCAGGGGAUCUUCGGACCUUGCGCGAUUGAAUGAGCCGAUGUCGGAUUAGCUAGUUGGCGGGGUAAAGGCCCACCAAGGCGACGAUCCGUAGCUGGUCUGAGAGGAUGAUCAGCCACACUGGAACUGAGACACGGUCCAGACUCCUACGGGAGGCAGCAGUGGGGAAUAUUGGACAAUGGGCGCAAGCCUGAUCCAGCCAUACCGCGUGGGUGAAGAAGGCCUUCGGGUUGUAAAGCCCUUUUGUUGGGAAAGAAAAGCAGCAGGUUAAUACCCCGCUGUUCUGACGGUACCCAAAGAAUAAGCCCCGGCUAACUUCGUG
rnacentral:rRNA from 1 species